AGAGUUUGAUCCUGGCUCAGAAUCAACGCUGGCGGCGUGCCUAACACAUGCAAGUCGAACGCGAAAGCCCCGCAAGGGGUAAGUAGCGUGGCAAACGGGUGAGUAACACGUGGGUGACCUGCCUUCGAGUGGGGGAUAACGUUCCGAAAGGGACGCUAAUACCGCAUGACAUCCUGCCUUUGAACAGGCGGAGAUCAAAGCUGGGGAUCGCAAGACCUAGCGCUGGAAGAGGGGCCCGCGCCUGAUUAGCUAGUUGGUGGGGUAAUGGCUCACCAAGGCAACGAUCAGUAUCCGGCCUGAGAGGGCGGACGGACACACUGGGACUGAGACACGGCCCAGACUCCUACGGGAGGCAGCAGUGGGGAAUUGUUCGCAAUGGGCGCAAGCCUGACGACGCAACGCCGCGUGGAGGAUGAAGACCUUCGGGUCGUAAACUCCUUUCGAUCGAGACGAAUGGCCUCCGGGUGAACAAUCCGGAGGAAUGACGGUACCGAGAGAAGAAGCCCCGGCUAACUCCGUGCCAGCAGCCGCGGUAAUACGGGGGGGGCAAGCGUUGUUCGGAAUUACUGGGCGUAAAGGGCUCGUAGGUGGCCAACUAAGUCAGACGUGAAAUCCCUCGGCUUAACCGGGGAACUGCGUCUGAUACUGGAUGGCUCGAGUUCGGGAGAGGGAUGCGGAAUUCCAGGUGUAGCGGUGAAAUGCGUAGAUAUCUGGAGGAACACCGGUGGCGAAGGCGGCAUCCUGGACCGACACUGACACUGAGGAGCGAAAGCCAGGGGAGCAAACGGGAUUAGAUACCCCGGUAGUCC
rnacentral:rRNA from 1 species